GCAAAAAGAGUGAAAUAGUCUAUUGCUGAAAAAAUCCAAAAGCGUAGUCUUAUUGGUGUCGGAAGGAUGCUGACACGGAACAGGAACUAGCCAAGGAUUUGGUACGCUUCAGGAUGAGGCACUCGGUUACUUAGGAUUAGUAAUCGGCACGGAUAGCGAAAUGGACAUUGAAUGGACGCAAUAGUAACUAGGAUGGUUGCUACUAAGGAAAGACAAUGGAC
rnacentral:misc_RNA from 1 species